CCUACGGGUGGCAGCAGUGAGGAAUAUUGGUCAAUGGACGCAAGUCUGAACCAGCCAUGCCGCGUGCAGGAAGACGGCUCUAUGAGUUGUAAACUGCUUUUGUACGAGGGUAAACGCAGAUACGCGUAUCUGUCUGAAAGUAUCGUACGAAUAAGGAUCGGCUAACUCCGUGCCAGCAGCCGCGGUAAUACGGAGGAUUCAAGCGUUAUCCGGAUUUAUUGGGUUUAAAGGGUGCGGAGGCGGUGUGGUAAGUUAGAGGUGAAAUCCUGAGGCUCAACUUCGGAAUUGCUGGUGAUACUGUUCGGCUAGAGAGUAGUAGCGGUAGGCGGAAUGUAUGGUGUAGCGGUGAAAUGCUUAGAGAUCAUGCAGAACACCGAUUGCGAAGGCAGCUUACCAAGCUACAUCUGACGCUGAGGCACGAAAGCGUGGGGAGCAAACAGGAUUAGAUACCCGAGUAGUC
rnacentral:rRNA from 1 species